rnacentral:rRNA from 1 species
AUUGAACGCUGGCGGCAGGCCUAACACAUGCAAGUCGAACGAGUGGCGGACGGUUGAGUAAUGUCUGGGAAACUGCCUGAUGGAGGGGGAUAUCUACUGGAAACUGUAGCUAAUACCGCAUACCAUCAGAUGUUCCCAGAUGGGAUUAGCUUGUGGGUGGGGUAACGGCUCACCUAGGCGACGAUCCCUAGCUGGUCUGAGAGGAUGACGAGCCACACUGGAACUGAGACACGGUCCAGACUCCUACGGGAGGCAGCAGAGGGGAAUAUUGCACAAUGGGCGCAAGCCUGAUGCAGACAUGCCGCGUGUAUGAAGAAGGACUUCGGGGUGUAAAGUACUUUCAGUGGGGAGGCGUUACCCGCAGAAGAAGCACCGGCUAACUCCGUGCCAGCAGCCGCGGUAAUAC